rnacentral:rRNA from 1 species
UACGGGGGGGGGCAAGCGUUGUUCGGAAUUACUGGGCGUAAAGGGCUCGUAGGCGGCCAACUAAGUCGGAUGUGAAAUCCCCAGGCUUAACCUGGGAACUGCAUCCGAUACUGGAUGGCUUGAAUCCGGGAGAGGGAUGCGGAAUUCCAGGUGUAGCGGUGAAAUGCGUAGAUAUCUGGAGGAACACCGGUGGCGAAGGCGGCAUCCUGGACCAACACUGACACUGAGGAGCGAAAGCCAGGGAGCAAAGCGGG